UACGUAGGGUGCGAGCGUUGUCCGGAAUUAUUGGGCGUAAAGGGCUCGUAGGCGGUCUGUCACGUCGGGAGUGAAAACUCAGGGCUUAACCCUGAGCCUGCUUCCGAUACGGGCUGACUAGAGGUAUGCAGGGGAGAACGGAACUUCUGGUGGAGCGGUGAAAUGCGUUGAUAUCAGAAGGAACGCCGGCGGCGAAAGCGGCGCACUGGACCUUUUCUGACGCUGAGGCGCGAAAGCCAGGGGAGCAAACGGG
rnacentral:rRNA from 1 species